ACUCCUCAAUCGUCCCUUCCUGGUGGACAGUCUCUAUUAUUAAGUGUUAUGUGAUUAUGUGGGAAAGAGUUCCUCUACAUGGACAAAAUCAUUCCACAUAAUCAGCUAACACUUAACAAGAGGAGGGCCACAUUUUCAAGACUUUUCCCGAGGGGACAGUCUCUAUUAUUAAGUGUUAUGUGAUUAUGUGGGAAAGAGUUCCUCUACAUGGACAAAAUCAUUCCACAUAAUCAGCUAACACUUAACAAGAGGAGGGCCACAUUUUUAUGACUUUUCCCGAGUGGACAGUCUCUAUUAUUGAGGGUUGAGUGAUUAUGUGGGAAAGAGUUCCUCUACAUGGACAAAAUCAUUCCACAUAAUCAAACUAACGUUCAACAAGAGGAGGGCCACAAUCUCCCGGUGGACAGUCUCUAUUAUUGAUUGUUACGUGAUUUUGUGGGAAAGAGUUCCUCUACAUGGACAAAAUCAUUCCACAAAAUCAGCUUAACAAUUAACAAGAGGAGGGCCACAAUUCCCAGAGGACAGUCUCUAUUAUUAAGUGUUAUGUGAUUAUGUGGGAAAGAGUUCCUCUACAUGGACAAAAUCAUUCCACAUAAUCAGCUAACACUUAACAAGAGGAGGGCCACUAAAACAAAUCCAAUUCCCCUUCGACCCCUUCAAAAAAAAAACAAGGUUUUUUUUUAACUGGAGUGAGGGAUGAAUGUUACCUCCCAAAAGGUCCCAUACUUUUUGUAAAUAUUUUUGUGUACAUAUUUUCUUUAAUUUCCUUACUUUAGUAUUUCAUUAUUAUUAUUCUUUUAAACUUUUAAAUUAUUAUUUCAAUUACUUUAAUGGCAGAAAAAAAAACUGAAAUUAAAUUUGAAUAAGGAAUAGAAAAUUGAAUUAGAAAAAAAACAUCGAUAAAUUUUGUCCUACCUGAGCACCCCUAUUUCCACCUAAAUUGCACCUCAAAAGACAGCAGCCGUUACUCCAUCGCAACAAUCCACCUCGCGACACCCCACAUCGCGAGCCGUCUGUCAGUACGAUAGUAUUGGUACGAUGUAGACUCCCGACGCCAACGAAGGAAUAAAACUGCUCGUCAUCGUGGAGCAGGGAUCAAUAGUGAACGCCUAGUAUGGCUUUGUGACACCAGUCCAGCUUGGUUGAACCAGCACGUGCAAGAGAAGCCGCCGGUGUGCCAGAUUCCUGUUGGCCCGGCAGACACGGAGAAAUCUUGCGGAGUGAAACGGAUGGAUUGCCGGUGUGCCAGAUUCUACUUGGCCCGGCCACCCGCAGAAGUGCAAGUUGUGUAAUAAAACGCCAAGAAGAACAGAAGAAGCCAGUGUCUCGAUUUAGGCGUGGUAGUGAAGUGAUCGGAGGAAUUACCGGCGCGCCAGACCCAAUUUGGCCCGGUCGUCCGUACCAACAACAUCCAGACGGGAAUCUCCGGUGUGCCAGACCCUACUUGGCUCGGUUGCCCGUUCCGACAGUCCGACGAAGAAGCCGCAGUGUACCCGUACCAGCAUCCAAACGGGAAUCCCCGGUGUGCCAGACCCUACUUGGCCCGGUCGCCCGUUCCGACAACCCGACGAAGAAGCCGCAGUGUACCCUUUCAGUAUGGCGCUGGACCCGAGUGAACGGCUGAAGACACUCGCUGGUCAUUCCGGCGAGCCCAGGAUCUAAACCGUCGGGACGACUCUCACCGACUAGUUUUGAAGGUCACCUGAAGGACGAGAGAGGUCCCAUGUUCGAACCAGGAUCGAGCAGCCUUUGGUCGGUAAUGUGCAUUAUUUCCUUACUUUUCCCAUAUCCUUCAUUGAACUUUUGAUUUGAAUCUAACGAGCAUGAAUAUAAACCCGAAAUGUUAAAUUAACUAGCCUGCAGUGUUGGAAAUUAUUAUAUAACCGCUGAGCCCUAAAAUCAACCAUCUUUCGUGUCUAGUCUACCUUGCCAGUUUUUUUUAGGGGAAGAUUGUCCGUAAUCCAUCCAAUUUCCUCGUCGGAGCCAUAGUGAACGACCC